UAAUGGACAUCUGUUACUUCCUGAUUGCCAAAGGACUGUCCAGUCCUGCCGAGUGCUGUGAGGGGCCACCUUACGCAGUGGCAGAGUCUGGCAUGCUAGCAGAAUGCUGUGGAGUGGCACGUGUCAGAGGACACCUCAGUUCACGUCGGACCAUUCACAGCAGCAGAAGGGCAGGAUCGGCUGUAGAAAAGUAUAGGCAAAAGAGGGAUGGACUACAGUUAUUCUAAAGCCACAUCAGAAG
rnacentral:lncRNA from 1 species